UGUAGAUAUUGCUACACCUGUAGGUAACUACUGAAGUGUCUCUAAGAAUCUAGAUAAAAUGUCUAACACCUUGCAGUGUAAACAUUUCCAGCUUCAAAGCGAAGGGGAUGUUUGCUAAGAAGUAGGUGGUUCAGAUUCAGACAUCAAAACAAUCAUAAUGUUUACCUUGGUUUCCCUUAGUUAAAUACUGAAAGUUCUGGGUAAAUGAUUGUCAUCAACAGUCCAGAAAGACACCAUAUAAGAAGAUGAAGGACGAGACAGUGAGGAGAACAAGGGUGACCAGACCACAUGAAAGAUAUCAGAGACUCCCGUGGAUGAAGAUGUGGGGCCUGAUGUAAGGAGCCAGAUAUCCCGAGUAUCAUGAUGAUUUAUAAUGCAUUAAUGCAGAAGUGUUGAAUUUGGUCUAUAGUCCUUCAGGUUUCAGAAAGUUUAACUAAACUUUCUAUAAUCCAGGUGAAAUUAUUGGUGUGUAUAAAAUGUUAAUAUGAUAAUAAACAUUCC
rnacentral:lncRNA from 1 species